ensembl:lncRNA
UUUCACCUGAGCUCAGCAGAGGCCCAUGGCAGGACAGUGCAGAAGCACAGCUGACGGGGCUCUUUGCUUGUUCCUGAAGCUCUUUCCCGAAGGGGGCCCGUACACGGAGUCAUUCAGUGACCGGGGCCAUAAAUGAGGGCUGCACCAGUGGCUCAGCACUGCUUAUUCUAGAAGGACACAGGGACUUUGGAGCGCAGCCAAAAUGCCUGGAACAAAAGGUAACAAGGCGGACAAGAAAUCCACCACCAAGCAACCUCAGAGUCCUAAGGAGCAGCCGAAGAAAGGUGAUCAGAAAGGAGAUGAUGCUAAAAAGCAAGGAGGACAGCCGAAGGGAGAGAAGCAGUAAUUUCCAGGCCUUCGUGAAGCUGGCUCUGGAGACUCUCCUGGGCUCUUGUCGACGCAAGCAUGGGGGCCCCCAGGGUAGGCAGGGCUGAGGUUUGCUCCUCCCACCACCAGCAUCCAUCUGACCGUCACUAGACAGAGCUUGGCCUAAGCCUCUGCAGUCUGUCCCUUCUGUACCUCCUCACAUGGGUCUCAGGUUUGAAUAAUGCUGCUGAUUUGUUCAUUGGUAGUUGGGCUAGUAAAGAGACCCCAGAGACUCUGUGACCCCACCCUCAUCUGUUCAUUUGACUCCGCCCAUGUCAUAGAUCUCAACUGUGCUGUACAUAAAUGAACUGAUUUGCAAAUAAACAAUUUCAU